UGGGGAAUAUUGGACAAUGGGCGAAAGCCUGAUCCAGCCAUGCCGCGUGUGUGAAGAAGGUCUUCGGAUUGUAAAGCACUUUAAGUUGGGAGGAAGGGCAUUAACCUAAUACGUUAGUGUUUUGACGUUACCGACAGAAUAAGCACCGGCUAACUCUGUGCCAGCAGCCGCGGUAAUACAGAGGGUGCAAGCGUUAAUCGGAAUUACUGGGCGUAAAGCGCGCGUAGGUGGUUUGUUAAGUUGGAUGUGAAAUCCCCGGGCUCAACCUGGGAACUGCAUUCAAAACUGACUGACUAGAGUAUGGUAGAGGGUGGUGGUAUUUCCGGUGUAGCGUUGAAAUGCGUAGAUAUAGGAAGGAACACCAGUGGCGAAGGCGACCACCUGGACUAAUACUGACACUGAGGUGCGAAAGCGUGGGGAGCAAACA
rnacentral:rRNA from 1 species